GACUACCGGGGUAUCUAAUCCUGUUUGCUACCCACGCUUUCGUGCCUGAGCGUCAGAAAUGGACCAGUAGCCUGCCUUCGCCAUUGGUGUUCCUACUAAUAUCUACGGAUAUUACUCCUCCACUAAUAAUUCCAGCUACCUCUUCCACUCUCUAGUUGAGCAGUUCAAAUAAUGUUCAUGUGGUUGAGCCACAUCCUUUCACUAUUUGCUUACUCUACCGCCUACGCAACUCUUUACGCCCAAUAAAUCCGGAUAACGCUUGGACCCUACGUAUUACCGCGGCUGCUGGCACGUAGUUAGCCGGUCCUUAUUCAUAGCUUACCGUCAUAAUCUUCAACUAUAAAAGCAGUUUACAAUCCGAAGACCUUCAUCCUGCACGCGGCAUUGCUCCAUCAGACUUUCGUCCAUUGUGGAAAAUUCCCUACUGCAGCCCCCCGUAGG
rnacentral:rRNA from 1 species